UACGGAGGGGGCUAGCGUUGUUCGGAAUUACUGGGCGUAAAGCGCGCGUAGGCGGAUCUGCAAGUCGGGGGUGAAAUCCCCGAGCUCAACUCGGGAACUGCGUCCGAUACUGGAAGGCUUGAAUUCGGGAGAGGGAUGCGGAAUUCCAGGUGUAGCGGUGAAAUGCGUAGAUAUCUGGAGGAACACCGGUGGCGAAGGCGGCAUCCUGGACCGGCAUGACGCUGAGGC
rnacentral:rRNA from 1 species